rnacentral:rRNA from 1 species
AUGUUGUCAGUCCGGGGCCCCUCCAGCACCUUUAGUACCGGUUCGUGGCACGAACCGGUGCUAAAGGUCGUCCUACAUAAACCCUUCGUCCACCCGAGCUUGCUCUGUUCUUCCCCUUUCCCCUCUCCUCUCCGUUCUUUCCCUCUUCCUCUCGAGCUCAUCACACAUUUUGCCCAAAAUUUGUCAAGAUUUGAAGCUCCCCAUCCAUUCAAAUGA